GCCUGCUACAUAAGCAUCUAUGACUUCUUGCUUGUGUACGACUAACAAUCUGGGAUCACUCCCGCCAAAGGUUACUCAGCAAGUUCAGUCUCCCAGUUUGUUAGUCGCACAAGUGGUUUGAGAGCUGGAAGAAGCAAAGGGUUGUGUGGGAGUGUGGGAGUGUGGGAGGUCCACCGCUGGUGUAGAGGGUGUCUCCUCACCAAGCACACUGAGGAGAUGACACCGUCAUUAUGAAGAUAAAUGUAAAGCAGCGGAUCCACUUACUAGGGGCCCCUCGGAGGAGAGAUGCUGCAGAUAAGCGUGUGUAUAUUGCAGGCAGGCAUAUACUCCUACAGCUUCACCCCCACUGGAUCAAUCUUGGGCCUCUCUCCUUCCAACGGCCUUAGCGUGAGCGCCUUAGCCCACUCAACUAGGGAUAACGCGUCCAAUCCCUGGAGUCAGAGCCGGCAUCUGCAUGUUUCUCUGUUCGAAGAUCCAGGCAUCCAGAUGAGCCAUGCGACACCCCCUGGAGGCGUGGACCCCUAAAGCGCCCGCAGGGGCUUGCUGACUCAGCGGGGGUGGGAAGGGGCCGUACUGGUAUAGCUACAUCUACUCCUGUGUCCAUCUGCAGAUGAACAACACCUGAUUGUGCUCACUCAGCCUGGUCAGCAUUUAUUUUGGUAGGGGACGUCUCCUCUGACCGAACACAGACCCAGGUUCCCCACGUACCAGUACAGUGCUCACACAUGCAGAUGUCUUCCAGAUGAACCGAAGUCUCAUGCCAGCAAGGUGGACAUGUUCCGGGGUAAAGGGUGAACGAGUGACACAUGGCUGCGCACUGCAACGGGAGUGAGGCAUGGAGAACACCAAGUGGGUACAAAGAUCCUGUUACAGCCGUCAGCCCUCGCCUAUUGUUAGUUUCUUAUGAG
ensembl:lncRNA